rnacentral:rRNA from 1 species
GACGAACGCUGGCGGCGUGCCUAACACAUGCAAGUCGUGCGAGAAAGUUCCUUCGGGAGCGAGUAAAGCGGCGCACGGGUGAGUAACACGUAGGUAACCUGCCCCCCAGUCUGGAACAACUAGAGGAAACUCUAGCUAAUGCCGGAUGAGACCACGAUCCCUUCGGGGGUUGCGGCCAAAGAUGGCCUCUACUUGUAAGCUAUCGCUGAGGGAUGGGCCUGCGGCCAUUAGCUUGUUGGUGAGGUAACGGCUCACCAAGGCUGUGAUGGCUAGCUGGUCUGAGAGGAUGACCAGCCACACUGGGACUGAGACACGGCCCAGACUCCUACGGGAGCAGCAGUGGGAAUAUUGCGCAAUGGGCGAAAGCCUGACGCAGCGACGCCGCGUGGGUGAUGAA